rnacentral:rRNA from 1 species
GCUGCUGGUUCUCUAGGGAGCAUGUGCACACUUGUCAUCUUUAUAUCUCCACCUGUGCACUUUUUGUAGACCUGGAUCUCUCUCUGAAUGCUAGCCAUUCAGGAUUGAGGAUUGACUUCAUGUCUCUCCUUCCAUUUCCAGGCCUAUGUUUCUUCAUAUACUCUAAUGUAUGUUAUAGAAUGUAAUCAAUGGCCUUUGUGCCUAUAAACCUAUACAACUUUCAGCAACGGAUCUCUUGGCUCUCGCAUCGAUGAAGAACGCAGCGAAAUGCGAUAAGUAAUGUGAAUUGCAGAAUUCAGUGAAUCAUCGAAUCUUUGAACGCACCUUGCGCUCCUUGGUAUUCCGAGGAGCAUGCCUGUUUGAGUGUCAUUAAUAUAUCAACCUCUUCAGCUUUUGCUUGUUGAGUGUUGGAUGUGGGGGUCUUUUUUGCUGGUCUUCUCAGGUCAGCUCCCCUGAAAUGCAUUAGCGGAACAAUUUGUGGACCGUUCAUUGGUGUGAUAACUAUCUACGCUAUUGACGCGAAACAGGUUCAGCUUCUAACAGUCCAUUGACUGGACAAAUUUUCAUUA